UGAGGAAUCUUUGGCAAUGAGCGAAAGCUUGACCAAGCAAUACCGCGUGAAGGAUGAAGGCUUUUGGGUUGUAAACUUCUUUUGUCAAUGAAGAAUUAAUGACUUUAGUUGAAGAAUAAGCACCGGCUAAUUACGUGCCAGCAGCCGCGGUAAUACGUAAGGUGCGAGCGUUGUACGGAAUUAUUGGGCGUAAAGCGUCUGUAGACGGUAUAGCUAAGUUUUUUGUUAAAUCCCAAAGCUCAACUUUGGUUCAGCAUUAGAUACUAGUAUACUUGAGUAUGAUUGAGGUAAGGGGAAUUUCCGGUGUAGCGGUGAAAUGCGUAGAUUUCGGAAAGAACUCCAAUGGCGAAGGCACCUUACUAGGUCAAUACUGACGUUGAGAGACGAAAGCGAGGGGAGCAAAAC
rnacentral:rRNA from 1 species